CCCAACUUCUAUUGAGUUUUAGCCACCCUGAUAUUACCCUUUAGGAUAUCUUGAUAAUCUUGGACAUUCAUUCUACCUUUGGUGACGGUCCAAAACAUGGUCAAUUGGUGCUGAAGUAAAGUGCAGAAUUGCUAAAGCCAACUGCUAAAUGCCUUUGACUGAUUGCACUCUUACAUCUGGGAAAUUCAAGGGAUCUGCCUACCAAUGAAACUGAAGGUCUACCAAUCAGUGGUGCUUCCAACUCUUCUGUACUCCUAUGAGGAGUGGACAGUUUAC